AACGAACGCUGGCGGCAGGCCUAAUACAUGCAAGUCGAACGAGAAAUAUCCUUCGGGAUAUGGACAGUGGCGCACGGGUGAGUAACGCGUGGGAAUAUGCCUUUUGGUACGGAAUAAUCCAGGGAAACUUGGCCUAAUACCGUAUGGUCCCUUCGGGGUAAAGAUUUAUCGCCAAAAGAUUAGCCCGCGUUAGAUUAGCU
rnacentral:rRNA from 1 species